rnacentral:tRNA from 1 species
CGCCGGGGUGUGGCGCAGAUGGGAGCCGCGUGGUUUGGGACCAUGAGGUCGCAGGUCGACCCUGUCACCCCGACCAAAAGGAAUUGCAACAGCAAUUCCUUUUUCAUUUUAUAUAAGAUUUAUAUUAAUCUCCAGUUAAAUCUAUUUAGACUUAACUGGAGUAUUA